AUAGAACGCUGGCGGCAUGCCUUACACAUGCAAGUCGAACGGCAGCACGGGUGCUUGCACCUGGUGGCGAGUGGCGAACGGGUGAGUAAUACAUCGGAACAUGUCCUGUAGUGGGGGAUAGCCCGGCGAAAGCCGGAUUAAUACCGCAUACGAUCUACGGAUGAAAGCGGGGGACCUUCGGGCCUCGCGCUAUAGGGUUGGCCGAUGGCUGAUUAGCUAGUUGGUGGAGUAAAGGCCUACCAAGGCGACGAUCAGUAGCUGGUCUGAGAGGACGACCAGCCACACUGGGACUGAGACACGGCCCAGACUCCUACGGGAGGCAGCAGUGGGGAAUUUUGGACAAUGGGCGAAAGCCUGAUCCAGCAAUGCCGCGUGUGUGAAGAAGGCCUUCGGGUUGUAAAGCACUUUUGUCCGGAAAGAAAUCCUUGGCCCUAAUACGGUCGGGGGAUGACGGUACCGGAAGAAUAAGCACCGGCUAACUACGUG
rnacentral:rRNA from 1 species